rnacentral:rRNA from 1 species
AAAAAAAAUUGUACCCUGAACAAGCCUGAUCCCGUUUGAUCUCGAAAGCUAAGUAGGGUUGGGCCUGGUUAGUACUUGGAUGGGAGACCACCUAGGAAGAUCUGGUGCUAUAUGUA